CCGCAAGUCACUGUUAAGACAGGGACCCCCUGCAAGUCACUGGUAAGGUGGUGAACCCCCUGCACACCCGCAAGUCACUGCUAAGAGAGUGACCCCUCUGCACACCAGCAAGUCACUGCUAAGACAGGGACCCCCCUGCACUGUGUUGCCACUCUGGAAAGAAAGAUGGUCUCCUAUCCCAUCCCCAGUUGGGGUCCUCACUUGCUAGAGUACAUAUGUGUCAUCCCCACACACAUUUAUAUUUUGUAUACAGAUUUUUUUUGUUUUUUUUUGAGACAGAGUCUCACUCUAUCGCCCAGGCUGGAGUGCAGUGGCACAAUCUCAGCUUACUGCAACCUCCACCUCCAAGGUUCAAGCGAUUCUCCUGCCUCAGCCUCCUGAGUGGUGGGAUUAAAGGCAUGCACCACCAUGUCCGGCUAAUUUUUGUAUUUCUAGUAGAGAUGGGGUUUCACUAUGUUGGUCAGGCUGCUCUCGAACUCCUGACCUCGUGAUCCGCCCUCCUCAGCCUCCCAAAGUGCUGGGAUUACAGGUGUGAGCCACUGCGCCUGGCCAAUAGUUACAGAUUCUUAAAACAAAACCGUCUUGUAUGUCUUAAACAUGUUGUAUGUCAUUGCACCGUACGCAUUCCUCCUGAAUUUUCUUUGUGGAUUAUCUUUGUGAGAUCCACCUAGGUGAUCCAUGUAGUUCUAAUAAUUGAUUCUCACUGCUUUUCAGUAUAUGUUAUGAUAGAGAACAACUUACCUGUCCAUUCCUCUAAUGAUGCACCUGUGGGCUGUCUCCAGUUGUUUGCUAUUUCAGGUAUCUGAGCACGUUUUCUUGUCUGAACAUGCAAGAAGCUCCCAACCCGACUGAAUGUCACCAAGGAGGUCACAAGAAGGGUACUGGGUAAGACCACUGGUCUCCACCCUCUCCCCCAAACCAUCAUCAUUCUGAUGGGCAUGAAAGGACGUCCCUCUGGCUUUACUUGCUGAUCACUAAGAAGGAUGAGCAUUUCUAUUUAUUUUUCCAUUUCUGCGAAACCCCAUUCAUGGUUUUUGCUCUUUUCUGAGUUGUUUGCCACCUUCUUGUUGACAACUAAUUCUGCACCUAUUCUGGAUACUUAAUCUCUGUUCGUUAUCCUUUUGUGGAUUUUGUUUUCACUUUUAAUUUCAAUAUAAAGAAGUUUAAAAUUUAAUGUAGUUGAAUUUCUUAAUGUUUUCCUUGGGCUUUUGGGGCCUUCUUAAAGAAGCCCUUGUUUCCAGAGCUCACAAAGAUGUCUUAGGCUUAGAAACACUCAGAGCUUAUUUAUUUAUUGUGUGGGGCUGGUGAGGGCUCUAAUUUUUCUCCCCCAAACACAGAUAACUAAGGCCGUCCAGGUGGCAGAGCUUCAGAGUUUGCACUGCUCUUCCCUGCAGGCUGCGUUCCUCUGCCUAUCUGUCUCAGCCCCUUUCUGCAGGGCCAGGCUCCCUUUACAGCUCGCUCUACUGAGUUUCCUGUUGUGAUACAUUGUUUCCCAUUUGAAAAUGCCUUUAUCACAAGCAGAUUCUUGAACGAGCAUCUACUUCAAGGCUUGAUUCUAAGCUGGCGGUGGAGAGUAAGGAGUCACACUUGCUGGAUCUGUCACACGGCUUCUGGCUCCCACUGUGGCCGUGGCAAAGCCGAGUCUCAGUCUCGGUGUCCGCUCUCAGAGGUAAUUUGCGUUUUUUCCUUGGGUGCAUUUAAGAUAUUCUCUUUGCGUUUGGUGUCCUGCAAUUUCAUUAUGAGAUGGAUGGAUGCUGUGCUCCCGAUCCUGUGUAUUCAGGCUUUCAUAAUUUAGAGAAAAUUGCUGGCCACUGUCACUUUAAGCCUCACACCCCCAAACUUUGUUUAAACGUGUGCUGUGCCUCACCCUGGCCUCCACGGUUCCUAGUGUCUCUUGUUUUCUGUUUGGCUCUUUAGCCCGCAUUUCUUCUGGUUUUCCUUUCCAUCCACUAAUACAAGAUCUGUUUAGCCAAAAUGGACCUGCUGCUAAACCCACACAGUUUCAUCUGUCAUACUUGUCAUUUCUAGAUGUUCUCUGACUCCUUUCCAGUCUCCACGUCAUGUUUGGCGGUCAUGUAUCAUACUUGUCAUUUCUAGAUGUUCUCUGACUCCUUUCCAGUCUCCACGUCAUGUUUGGCGGUCAUGUAUCAUACUUGUCAUUUCUAGAUGUUCUCUGACUCCUUUCCAGUCUCCACGUCAUGUUUGGCGGUCAUGUAUCAUACUUGUCAUUUCUAGAUGUUCUCUGACUCCUUUCCAGUCUCCACGUCAUGUUUGGCGGUCAUGUAUCAUACUUGUCAUUUCUAGAUGUUCUCUGACUCCUUUCCAGUCUCCACGUCAUGUUUGGCGGUCAUGUAUCAUACUUGUCAUUUCUAGAUGUUCCCUCUGAUUCCUUUCCAGUCUCCAGGUCACGUUUAGCGGUCAUGUGGCUCCUGGUUCAGGCUGUUUCCUUCCUCUAGUCUGUGAAUAUCUCAAGCAUUCUUAGUUUAUCUUCUUUAACUUAGGAUCUCAACAGCUGCCUUCUCGGAGGUUCAGUUCUGCUGUGGUUCUGCUGACUUGCUCACGGUGGCUUUUCCUGUAUGUGCUUGGUAAUUUUCACCUGUGAGCUCAUGUUUAGAUGAUUUUAAUGUGACGAAAUCCAGAGAGACCUGGGUGUGCUGGCAGCAGCUACCCAGCAUGCGUGUUCUCACGGAGUUUGCCAAUGCCAUUCUCUCCACCUGGGCCACUUCUCAGGGCUGUGCUUCCAGCAAGCGGCCUUGAGGAAUGAGGUCAUGUCUCUUCUAGUCAAAGUGCAGGUGUGUUUACUGCCCGCUGUGAAAGCAGUGGGGUUCUCCAAGCUCAGUGUGCAUCAGCCACGGCCUCAAGUGUCCACCCGUGGGGAACCCAGGCCAACGAGAGGCUCAUGCUGCCAGCUGUGCCAUGAGAACCCGGGAACCUCAUGUCUUCAGUCAACAUCCGUGAGAUGCUACAGGCUGGCAGGUCAGUCUGCAAACAGAGUAGAAGCCAGAUCUGGAAACACGCCGGUCCCUCCCGAUGCCCGCACACAGCCCUCGUGGAGGCAGGAGCUCCACAGUGUGAGAUUUUACAGAUCAUGAUGUAGCUGGCACAAACCCAAACUGCAAACCCUUGUGAGGGGAGGUUUUGCUUCCACUUCUCAGGGCAGUGCUGGCCACCCCCAUGCAAGGCCUCAGACAGACAAACUGCCCUUUGGACCCUAUCUGCCAGUGGAGGGAGACACCAUCUUCAGGGGUCCCUGUUCCAACUCUACACCUCGUGUGGGCCAAGGCUUCAGCUCUUGAAAAUUACCAAGCACAUACAGGAAAAG
rnacentral:lncRNA from 10 species